CCAGGCGCGAAAACUUUACAAUGCGGGAAACCGUGAUAAGGGGACACCGAGUGUCAGCAUCAUAUGCUGGCUGUCCAGGUGUGUAAAAUACACCUGUUAGCAAGGGCCGGGCAAGACCGGUGCCAGCCGCCGCGGUAACACCGGCGGCCCGAGUGGUGAUCGUGAUUAUUGGGUCUAAAGGGUCCGUAGCCGGUUUGGUCAGUCCUCCGGGAAAUCUGAUAGCUUAACUAUUAGGCUUUCGGAGGAUACUGCCAGACUUGGAACCGGGAGAGGUAAGAGGUACUACAGGGGUAGGAGUGAAAUCUUGUAAUCCCUGUGGGACCACCUGUGGCGAAGGCGUCUUACCAGAACGGGUUCGACGGUGAGGGACGAAAGCUGGGGGCACGAACCGGAUUAGAUACCCGGGUAGUCCCAGCCGUAAACGAUGCUCGCUAGGUGUCAGGCAUGGCGCGACCGUGUCUGGUGCCGCAGGGAAGCCGUGAAGCGAGCCACCUGGGAAGUACGGCCGCAAGGCUGAAACUUAAAGGAAUUGGCGGGGGAGCAC
rnacentral:rRNA from 1 species